AACGAACGCUGGCGGCAUGCCUAACACAUGCAAGUCGAACGAGACCUUCGGGUCUAGUGGCGCACGGGUGCGUAACGCGUGGGAAUCUGCCCUUGGGUGCGGAAUAACAGUUAGAAAUGACUGCUAAUACCGCAUAAUGACUCCGGUCCAAAGAUUUAUCGCCCAGGGAUGAGCUCGCGUCGGAUUAGCUAGUUGGUAGGGUAAAAGCCUACCAAGGCAACGAUCCGUAGCUGGUCUGAGAGGAUGAUCAGCCACACUGGGACUGAGACACGGCCCAGACUCCUACGGGAGGCAGCAGUGGGAAAUAUUGGACAAUGGGCGAAAGCCUGAUCCAGCAAUGCCGCGUGAGUGAUGAAGGCCUUAGGGUUGUAAAGCUCUUUUACCCGGGAUGAUAAUGACAGUACCGGGAGAAUAAGCCCCGGCUAACUCCGUGCCAGCAGCCGCCGUAAUAC
rnacentral:rRNA from 1 species